rnacentral:tRNA from 1 species
GAGGAUAUAGCUCAGUGGCAGAGUGCAGUGCAUAGCAUGCCCGAGGUCCUGGGUUCAAUCCCGGUUACCUCC